UUACGCCCAUAUCACGUUAAAAAAUCGGUUCUAGUCUGAACCCCCAAGUUAAGCAACGACGAGCCCGGUCAGUACCUUGAUGGGUGACCGCUUGGAAAUACCCGGUACUGUAAG